GUAGGGUGCGAGCGUUAAUCGGAAUUACUGGGCGUAAAGGGUGCGCAGGCGGUUUGCUAAGACAGGCGUGAAAGCCCCGGGCUUAACCUGGGAGGUGCGCUUGUGACUGGCAGACUAGAGUGCGGCAGAGGGGGGUGGAAUUCCACGUGUAGCAGUGAAAUGCGUAGAGAUGUGGAGGAACACCGAUGGCGAAGGCAGCCCCCUGGGCUAGCACUGACGCUCAGGCACGAAAGCGUGGGGAGCAAACAGGAUUAGAUACCCUGGUAGUCCACGCCCUAAACGAUGUCAACUGGUUGUCGGGGGGUUACUCCUUGGUAACGAAGCUAACGCGUGAAGUUGACCGCCUGGGGAGUACGGCCGCAAGGUUG
rnacentral:rRNA from 1 species